rnacentral:rRNA from 1 species
AGAGUUUGAUCCUGGCUCAGAAUGAACGUUGGCGGCGUGGAUUAGGCAUGCAAGUCGUGCGGAAAGGCUCCUUCGGGAGUACUCGAGCGGCGAAAGGGAGAGUAACGCGUGGAUAUCUACCCUCGGAUCUGGGAUAGCGGCGGGAAACUGCCGGUAAUACCAGAUAAUGUCUCCGGACCAAAGGUGUAAUUCCGUCCGAGGAUGAGUCCGCGUCCUAUUAGCUUGUUGGUGGGGUAAUGGCCUACCAAGGCUGUGAUGGGUACCGGGUGUGAGAGCAUGGCCCGGCUCACUGGGACUGAGACACUGCCCAGACACCUACGGGUGGCUGCAGUCGAGAAUCUUCGGCAAUGGGCGCAAGCCUGACCGAGCGACGCCGCGUGCGGGAUGAAGGCCUUCGGGUUGUAAACCGCUGUCAGAGGGGAGGAAAUGCAUGGGGGUUCUCCCCUGUGUUUGACCUAUCCUCAGAGGAAGUACGGGCUAAGUUCGUGCCAGCAGCCGCGGUAAUACGAACCGUACGAACGUUAUUCGGAAUCACUGGGCUUAAAGAGUGCGUAGGCGGCUUGGAAAGUUGGGUGUGAAAUCCCUCGGCUCAACCGAGGAAUUGCGCCCAAAACUUCCUGGCUUGAGGGAGGCAGAGGUAAGCGGAACUAAUGGUGGAGCGGUGAAAUGCGUUGAUAUCAUUAGGAACACCUGAGGCGAAAGCAGCUUACUGGGUCUCUUCUGACGCUGAGGCACGAAAGCUAGGGGAGCGAACGGGAUUAGAUACCCCGGUAGUCCUAGCUGUAAACGAUGAGCACUGGAUUGAGGGGACUUCCACAUCCUCUCGGUCGUAGCGAAAGUGUUAAGUGCUCCGCCUGGGGAGUAUGGUCGCAAGGCAA